rnacentral:rRNA from 1 species
CCUGACUGCUAUCGGAUUGAUACUAAGCCAUGCGAGUCUUUGCAGUAAUGCAAGGCAUACGGCUCAGUAACACGUAGUCAACUUACCCUAUGGACGAGGAUAAUCUCGGGAAACUGAGCAUAAUACUCGAUAGAUCAUAAUGCCUGGAAUGGUUUAUGGUUGAAAUGAUUCGUCGCCAUAGGAUGGGACUGCGGCCUAUCAGCUUGUUGGUGAGGUAAUGGCCCACCAAGGCGAUUACAGGUACGGGCUCUGAGAGGAGAAGCCCGGAGAUGGGUACUGAGACAAGGACCCAGGCCCUAUGGGGCGCAGCAGGCGAGAAAACUUUGCAAUGUGCGAAAGCACGACAAGGUUAAUCCGAGUGAUUUCUGCUAAAGAAAUCUUUUGCAAGUCAUAAAACCACUAGUGAAUAAGGGGUGGGCAAGUUCUGGUGUCAGCCGCCGCGGUAAAACCAGCACCUCAAGUGGUCAGGAGGAUUAUUGGGCCUAAAGCAUCCGUAGCCGGCUCUGUAAGUUUUCGGUUAAAUCCAUGUGCUCAACGCAUGGGCUGCCGAAAAUACUGCAUAGCUAGGGAGUGGGAGAGGUAGACGGUACUCGGUAGGAAGGGGUAAAAUCCUUUGAUCUAUCGAUGACCACCUGUGGCGAAGGCGGUCUACCAGAACACGUUCGACGGUGAGGGAUGAAAGCUGGGGGAGCAAACCGGAUUAGAUACCCGGGUAGUCCCAGCUGUAAACGAUGCAGACUCGGUGAUGCAUUGGCAUAUAGCCAGUGCAGUGUCGCAGGGAAGCCGUUAAGUCUGCCGCCUGGGAAGUACGUACGCAAGUAUGAAACUUAAAGGAAUUGGCGGGGGAGCACCACAAGGGGUGAAGCCUGCGGUUC